UACGUAGGGUGCGAGCGUUAAUCGGAAUUACUGGGCGUAAAGCGUGCGCAGGCGGUUUUGUAAGCCAGAUGUGAAAUCCCCGGGCUUAACCUGGGAAUGGCAUUUGGGACUGCAAGGCUUGAGUUUGGCAGAGGAGACUGGAAUUCCUGGUGUAGCAGUGAAAUGCGCAGAUAUCAGGAGGAACACCGGUGGCGAAGGCGGUGGUCUGGGCCGGAACUGACGCUGAGGAGCGAAAGCGUGGGGAGCGAACAGG
rnacentral:rRNA from 1 species